GCAAUAUGCUUCCUAUCAGAAUUCCAAGAGGUUUUUGCUUUUUGUUUUUUGUUUUUUUAAUUUAGAAAGAUUUAUUCUAAUAUUCUUCUGAAAAACUGGGUAAAAGUAGUCAGGAAGAGCUUGAGCAGAAAGAAACCUAUGAGGAAAACCUCCCUUUCCCAGUAUCAAAAUACACUGCAAAACGUCUUUAUAUAAAAUAGAAGAGAAGUUUCCCAGGAAGAGAAAAAUAGUUCUGUGGAACAGCUUCUGCAGUUCAGAAACAGACUUGUGUAUAUGAGUAAUUGUUUAAGAAAAACUGAGGAUUUGAUAAAUUAUAUUUUUGGAAGUCCAUUUAGAGAAAAGUUAGAUGCCUAUAUCAUAGUAUACAGAAAGAUACUCCAGGUAGAAUAAGUGUUAGGUAGAUUUUUUUUUUUUAAGAAUAUGGUAGCAAAAUAAAUCUUUUGUAAGUUUUAUUAAAAUAGGCAGAAGCAUAAAAUAAAAAAUUGAUUAUUUAUAUAUAAAUUUAAACUUUGUAUGUACUGCAGGUCAUAAAAUCAAAAGUAAAAGAAACAAAUAUUUGUAGCAUAUAUGACAAAUGUUAAUGCCAGUGGUCCACAAAGAAACCUUAAACCCAGGCAAAGGGAAGAAUAGGCAACUCACAGAGGAGAAAUAUGAAGGUCCAAUAAACAUUCUGAUACAACAGUUAUUCUGACUUCUUGAAAUAUUUUUAAAAAAUCCUUGAUUCCUAAGAUCACCUCUGGAUAUGCUCACACAGAACCUCUGAAGGUGAUGAGUAAAGUGUGGAGACCACGUCACUAGACUGUUGGUGCCAUCGGUGCAGGAACCUGUCCUGUUUCCUCCCCCUCAUAUACCCAGUAUCUGGUCCAGUGCUUGGCACAUAGUAGGUGUUCAGUAAAUAUUUAAUGAAUAAGUAAAUGAAACAUUUAAAAGGAUCCUCAACAGGAGUUGUCACUGCCACAGUACGGUUUGAUCCCUUGCUAGGAACUUCCACAUGUCGCAGGGAGGGCAAAAAAACAAAAAAC